rnacentral:rRNA from 1 species
UACGAAGGGGGCUAGCGUUGCUCGGAAUGACUGGGCGUAAAGGGCGCGUAGGCGGCGCAGACAGUCAGGCGUGAAAUUCCUGGGCUCAACCUGGGGACUGCGCUUGAUACGGCUGUGCUUGAGGAUGGAAGAGGCUCGCGGAAUUCCCAGUGUAGAGGUGAAAUUCGUAGAUAUUGGGAAGAACACCGGUGGCGAAGGCGGCCAACUGGACGAACACUGACGCUGAGACUCGAAAGCGUGGGGAGCAAACAGG